rnacentral:rRNA from 1 species
AGUGAACGCUGGCGGUAGGCCUAACACAUGCAAGUCGAACGGCAGCACAGUAAGAGCUUGCUCUUACGGGUGGCGAGUGGAGGACGGGUGAGGAAUACAUCGGAAUCUACUUUUUCGUGGGGGAUAACGUAGGGAAACUUACGCUAAUACCGCAUACGACCUACGGGUGAAAGCAGGGGAUCUUCGGACCUUGCGCGAUUGAAUGAGCCGAUGUCGGAUUAGCUAGUUGGCGGGGUAAAGGCCCACCAAGGCGACGAUCCGUAGCUGGUCUGAGAGGAUGGUCAGCCACACUGGAACUGAAACACGGUCCAGACUCCUACGGGAGGCAGCGGUGGGGAAUAUUGGACAAUGGGCGCAAGCCUGAUCCAGCCAUACCGCGUGGGUGAAGAAGGCCUUCGGGUUGUAAAGCCCUUUUGUUGGGAAAGAAAAGCAGCAGGUUAAUACCCCGCUGUUCUGACGGUACCCAAAGAAUAAGCACCGGCUAACUUCGUG